GGGAGGGUGGCCGAGUGGUUAUGGCGUGUGGCUCAAGAUCGAUUGACUCUUCCUCCUCAUGGGGGUAACCCCGCGCGAGUUCGAUCCUCGCCCCUCUCA